AUGAUUUAUGGGAUGUUGUAAAAUCCUUACUCGGAUAACUGUGGUAAUUCUAGAGCUAAUACGUGCAACUAGUCUCCGACCCCGGCCUCGCGAGAGGUCGGGGGAAGGGCGCAUUUAUUAGACCAAAAACCGGGCGGACGUUCGGGGCAAUCUCCGCUUCGCGCGGCAGCAUUCGUCCUCGUCCAAUCCUGUACGGUUUCGUGGUGACUCUGAAUAACUACCGCCGAGCGCUGAGGUCUUAGUACCGGCGCCGUAUCCUUCAAGUGUCUGCCUUAUCAGCUCUCGAUUGUAGGUUAUUCGCCUACAAUGGCUGUAACGGGUAACGGGGAAUCAGGGUUCGAUUCCGGAGAGGGAGCCUGAGAAACGGCUACCACAUCUAAGGAAGGCAGCAGGCACGCAAAUUACCCAAUCCCGGCUCGGGGAGGUAGUGACGAAAAAUAACGAUGCGGGACUCUUCCGAGGCCUCGCAAUCGGAAUGAGUUCAAUGUAAAAACUUGGACGAGGAUCCAUUGGAGGGCAAGUCUGGUGCCAGCAGCCGCGGUAAUUCCAGCUCCAAUAGCGUAUAUUAAAGUU
rnacentral:rRNA from 1 species